rnacentral:rRNA from 1 species
AACGAACGCUGGCGGCAGGCUUAACACAUGCAAGUCGAGCGCCCCGCAAGGGGAGCGGCAGCCGGGUGAGUAACGCGUGGGAACGUACCUUUUGGUUCGGAACAACUCCGGGAAACUGGAGCUAAUACCGGAUAAGCCCUAACGGGGAAAGAUUUAUCGCCGAAAGAUCGGCCCGCGUCUGAUUAGAUAGUUGGUGAGGUAACGGCUCACCAAGGCGACGAUCAGUAGAUGGUCUGAGAGGAUGUUAAGCCACACGGGGACGGAGCCACGGCCCAGACUCCUAGGGGAGGCAGCGGUAGGGAAUAUUGGACAAUGGCCGAAAGCCUAACCCAGCCAUGCCGCGUGAGUGAUGAAGCCCUUAGGGUUGUAAAGCUCUUUUGUCCGGGAAGAUUAUGACAGUACCGGAAGAAUAAGCCCCGGCUAACUUCGUG